rnacentral:misc_RNA from 1 species
UCACGAAUCUUUGAACGCACCUUGCACCCUUUGGCAUUCCGAAGGGUAUGCUCGUUUGAGUGUCAUUGUACUCUCACACUCCCAAUACUUUUGGAUUGGGAGCGGUGGACUUGGGUGUUGCUGCUUUACUGUGGCUCACCUCAAAUGGAGUAGUGCAACUCUCGGUUGGACAUAGUACGGCGUGAUAAGUGUCUUCGCCGGCGCCUCAUUAGAGGGUGGCCGAUCGGGAGCUCUGUGCUUCAAACCGUCUUCGGACAACAUCUGACAACUUGACCUCAAAUCGAGUAGGACUACCCGCUGAACUUAAG